AACUUUUUUUCAUCUCAUUCCAAACGGGCACCAAGGAACAUUAGACAAGACUUACAUAAGAAUAUCAUUUACAUAUUUUUCACUAGAGACUAGAGUUGGUGAAAAUAGAAAGCUUGGUCUAAGCCACCGCUCCAAAGCUUACAAAUUCGCAUCAGAAAAAAAAAAAACCCGAAUUGCUUUUCAUUCUUCUGUGAUUUUCUGAGACAGAAUGUCUUGCUCAAGCGGAGCUUCUGACUAACGAAUUACUGAUAAAAAAGAACGUGAAAGGAAACAACGCGCUGCACGAAGCUGCGAGGUUUGGGCAGGCGGGCGUGGCAGAGAUCAUGUUGAGGAAGAACGUUACUAUUUGGCAAUUAGGAUAUUGGAAUCAUACCCAAACCUUGCUCGGCAACGUGAUGAAAAGGGAAUGACAGCAUUGAAUUUGUUGGUGACAAAACCAACUUCUUUCAAAAGCAGAUCAUAAUAUGUACUUUAUGAUCUAAGCAGGACAUCCUUCAUUCCUUGGCAGAUUGUUAAAGCUAUAAUCUAUUUUUGUAAGUAUAUACACCAUUAUACCUGCAAUUUAGUUAAAACAUUAAUUAUCUUUUUUUUUUUAAAUAUGCUUUUACAAAGUUCUUCCAAUUCCAUUUUUAUAAUAAAAACAAAUGACUAAUGAAAACGUAAAUUGAUAAA